GACGAACGCUGGCGGCGUGCUUAACACAUGCAAGUCGAACGGAAAGGCCCUGCUUUUGUGGGGUGCUCGAGUGGCGAACGGGUGAGUAACACGUGAGUAACCUGCCCUUGACUUUGGGAUAACUUCAGGAAACUGGGGCUAUUACAGGAUAGGAGCUCCUGCUGCUUGGUGGGGGUUGGAAAGUUUCGGCGGUUGGGGAUGGACUCGCGGCUUAUCAGCUUGUUGGUGGGGUAGUGGCUUACCAAGGCUUUGACGGGUAGCCGGCCUGCGAGGGUGACCGGCCACAUUGGGACUGAGAUACGGCCCAGACUCCUACGGGAGGCAGCAGUGGGGAAUAUUGCACAAUGGGCGGAAGCCUGAUGCAGCAACGCCGCGUGCGGGAUGACGGCCUUCGGGUUGUAAACCGCUUUCGCCUGUGACGAAGCGUGAGUGACGGUAAUGGGUAAAGAAGCACCGGCUAACUACGUG
rnacentral:rRNA from 1 species